ACUCCUACGGGAGGCAGCAGUAAGGAAUAUUGGUCAAUGGGCGCAAGCCUGAACCAGCCAUGCCGCGUGCAGGAAGACGGCCCUAUGGGUUGUAAACUGCUUUUAUCAGGGAAUAAACCUUUGUACGAGUACAGAGCUGAAGGUACCUGAAGAAUAAGCAUCGGCUAACUCCGUGCCAGCAGCCGCGGUAAUACGGAGGAUGCAAGCGUUAUCCGGAUUCAUUGGGUUUAAAGGGUGCGCAGGCGGAUUGGUAAGUCAGGGGUGAAAUCCCACAGCUCAACUGUGGAACCGCCUUUGAUACUGUCAGUCUAGAGUAUAGUUGAAGUGGGCGGAAUGUGUCAUGUAGCGGUGAAAUGCUUAGAUAUGACACAGAACACCGAUCGCGAAGGCAGCUCGCUAAGCUAUAACUGACGCUCAUGCACGAAAGCGUGGGGAUCAAACAGGAUUAGAUACCCUGGUAGUC
rnacentral:rRNA from 1 species